GAAGACAAGGCCCAAGAAAUGACCUGUUCCUCUUGCUGGAAGCCUUCAAGUCCUUGUUCAAGCUGUCAAUCAGCAGCAGCUCAGAAUGCAGGGAAGACUCAGUAUCGAGGCAAUGGAAGCAAGCAGGAUAUUACUGCAUGGCAACACUGCUGCUAAAUUCCAUCACCAUGAGAAAACUGACCCAGUUGUAUGGCAUUCUCAGGAAUCCUCCCUUCACUGCAUUGUCCGUUGUCAAAACAUUUUCAGCAUCAGCUCAGCAGUGAACUAUAGUUGUCACCAAUGGGUUCAUUUACUAGUGAGAGGGGGUUUAACACUGUGGGAGAUCCUCACAUUGCUUCUUUCACAUAGCAUCUGUGAAGGCCCAUGAAGAAGAAAAACCCACAACAAGAGGAGUCUUAUUUGCUCUGUGACCUGAAGGUUAACUGCGCCCUAAGGAUAGCUAUUGAGUCUACCAAUGCAUAGGGAAAAUAAUACAAAUGAAAGACAAAUAAUUCCUAAAGUACAUAAAAUCUUCCAAAACUUUACACAGGAAACUCUAAUCAUUAACUCUGGAACUUGACGGCAUCAGCAAACAUAUAUAAUAAUACCCUUGAAUAGCUGGCUCAAGUAUUUUACUUAUAUAAUCUUGCACAUAGAAAUGCCAAUUUAAUCUUUAAUAAUAUUUAGUAACUGUCAGUGAAAAAUUGACCAUAACAUGCACUUUCAUGUCAAUUUUCUGUUUUUCUGUGCCACCUAAUAAAAUAAGUGUUAUGCAGUUUUACUCUGCACUAGUAAAGUGAAUUAAACAUUGGAAUUACUGUUACAUUUUAA